rnacentral:rRNA from 1 species
UAUGGCGACCGGCGCACGGGUGAGUAACACGUAUCCAACCUGCCGAUGACUCGGGGAUAGCCUUUCGAAAGAAAGAUUAAUACCCGAUGGCAUAGUUCUUCCGCAUGGUGGAACUAUUGAAGAAUUUCGGUCAUCGAUGGGGAUGCGUUCCAUUAGGUUGUUGGCGGGGUAACGGCCCACCAAGCCUUCGAUGGAUAGGGGUUCUGAGAGGAAGGUCCCCCACAUUGGAACUGAGACACGGUCCAAACUCCUACGGGAGGCAGCAUG